GUACAUUGUUUAUGUUUCUGAUGAUAUCAAACCAGAAGGUAAGAAAAGCAAACAUUGAUGGCUUAAGAAGUAUCAUUUGGUAGAGUCAGAUGAUGAUGGUGAUGGCGAUAGUAUUAUUUAAACAGCUUUGGAAACUAACAAUGUCCUUCAAGAUAGCCAAACACAUAGGGUAGUAGCUCUGUCGGACAAAAAGAAAGAGGUUGGGGAUGUUAAAAUUUUGAAAAAGAAAAAGAAGGAAAAAGAAAUCAAGAGUUCUCUAAUUGGCGUUCUAUAAAACUAGAUCAAACCGUUAGUUCGGUACUAGUUACCUGUGGUAGUGAUUGUUUCCAACAAUGGAGGUGUAUAUGGUGGUGACUGGAU